GAUGAACGCUGGCGGCGUGCCUAAUACAUGCAAGUCGAGCGAACGGACGAGAAGCUUGCUUCUCUGAUGUUAGCGGCGGACGGGUGAGAAACACGUGGAUAACCUACCUAUAAGACGGGGAUAACUUCGGGAAACGGUAGCUAAUACCGGAUAAUAUUUUGAACCGCAGGGUUCAAAAGGAAAAGACGGUCUUGCGGUCACUUAUAGAUGGAUCCGCGCUGCAUUAGCUAGUUGGUAAGGUAACGGCUUACCAAGGCAACGAUGCAUAGCCGACCUGAGAGGGUGAUCGGCCACACUGGAACUGAGACACGGUCCAGACUCCUACGGGAGGCCGCAGUAGGGAAUCUUCCGCAAUGGGCGAAAGCCUGACGGAGCAACGCCGCGUGAGUGAUGAAGGUCUUCGGAUCGUAAAACUCUGUUAUUAGGGAAGAACAUAUGUGUAAGUAACUGUGCACAUCUUGACGGUACCUAAUCAGAAAGCCACGGCUAACUACGUG
rnacentral:rRNA from 1 species